GAACUCACUGUGUAGCUCAGGCUGGCCUGAAACUCACUGUGUAGCCCAGGCUGGCCUGAAACUCAUGGCGAUCCUUCUGCCUCACUCACCCGAGUGCUGGGAUCACAGGCAUGUGUCACCACACCCG
rnacentral:miRNA from 1 species